GACGAACGCUGGCGGCGUGCUUAACACAUGCAAGUCGAACGGUAAGGCCCUUCGGGGUACACAAGUGGCGAACGGGUGAGUAACACGUGGGUGAUCUGCCCUGCACUUCGGGAUAAGCCUGGGAAACUGGGUCUAAUACCGGAUAGGACCACUGCCUGCAUGGGUGGUGGUGGAAAGCUUUUGCGGUGUGGGAUGGGCCCACGGCCUAUCAGCUUGUUGGUGGGGUGAUGGCCUACCAAGGCGACGACGGGUAGCCGGCCUGAGAGGGUGACCGGCCACACUGGGACUGAGAUACGGCCCAGACUCCUACGGGAGGCAGCAGUGGGGAAUAUUGCACAAUGGGCGCAAGCCUGAUGCAGCGACGCCGCGUGAGGGAUGACGGCCUUCGGGUUGUAAACCUCUUUCAGCACCGACGAAGCGCAAGUGACGGUAGGUGCAGAAGAAGGACCGGCCAACUACGUGCCAGCAGCCGCCGUAA
rnacentral:rRNA from 1 species